rnacentral:lncRNA from 1 species
UAAAUAAAUUCGGUACGUUUUUAUUUAAAAAAAUAUAUACUAGUAAUAAUUAAAUUUAGAGGCAAUUGCUUAUAUACCUCUGAAAAAUUUUCGACUUUCUGAUUUAUCCUUCUUAGAAGGCUAAUAUUGAAAAUAUUCUUCUUACGUUUCAAUCUAUUUCAAAUAUAUCUCUAAAGUUAAAUUCUGUUAAUGAACAGUUAAAUUAGAUGUUAUCUCUAUGAAAUUACUAUUUUGCCCUUUCAAACAUCUCUUUUAAAUAUACCUUUCUACCAUCACAAAUAUUUUUUAUUUGUCCUUCAGUUAAUUGCAAAAGAGUCAUUUUAAUUUUUUUUUAAUUCUAGUAGAUAUUUAACUCACGUUUAAUCCAAGUUAACUUAACAGAUGAAAAGUGCAACGGUAUUUUAAAAUAACGGAGGAACAUAUGAGGGGUAUAUUAGAAAAAAUAAAAAUAGAGAUAAUGAGAUAUUUCUGAAGUUUUGAAGGGUAUAUCGGCAAUUGUCUGUUAAAUUUAACUAUUGUGAAAUUAAUGUAUGUGUAAUUAAUUAGUGGCUAAUAAAGGUGUA